CCUACGGGAGGCAGCAGUGGGGAAUUUUGCACAAUGGGGGAAACCCUGAUGCAGCGAUGCCGCGUGAGUGAAGAAGGCCUUUGGGUUGUAAAACUCUUUCGUCGGGGAAGAAAAUGACUGUACCCGAAUAAGAAGGUCCGGCUAACUUCGUGCCAGCAGCCGCGGUAAUACGAAGGGACCUAGCGUAGUUCGGAAUUACUGGGCUUAAAGAGCUCGUAGGUGGUUAAAAAAGUUGAUGGUGAAAUCCCAAGGCUCAACCUUGGAACUGCCAUCAAAACUUUUUAGCUAGAGUGUGAUAGAGGUAAGUGGAAUUUCUAGUGUAGAGGUGAAAUUCGUAGAUAUUAGAAAGAACACCAAAUGCGAAGGCAACUUACUGGGUCACUACUGACACUGAGGAGCGAAAGCAUGGGUAGCGAAGAGGAUUAGAUACCCUCGUAGUCCAUGCCGUAAACGAUGUGUGCUAGACGUUGGAAAUAUAUUUUUCAGUGUCGCAGCGAAAGCAUUAAGCACACCGCCUGGGGAGUACGACCGCAAGGUUAAAACUCAAAGGAAUUGACGG
rnacentral:rRNA from 1 species